AACAAAAUCAACAGACUACUAGGCAAAGAGACAGUGACGGUGAAAUGUCUCUCUGAAGGUGAACCGUGUUAUUUUCAUACUGGUCUUCGGGAUUCAUUCAUUAAUUCUUACCAGAGGGAAGUCAGAGACGCCAGAGAGAGAAGGAAGAAGAUGGGAGAGGAAUGCCCAUUGACCAUGGCUUCCCAUCCAGAGGAAAUAGAACUGAAACACUGGCCAGUGGCUUCCCACCUCAACCCAGGUCCUCUGAAGACGUUACUCCACAAACUUGGUCUGGAAAAACAAUAUCCUAAUAAACUGACUCUUAGAUCUUUGCUUGAGAUCAACAAGGACAGCAUUUCUGAUGACGCUGUUGACUCACUCAAAGCAGUACCACUGUACUUUCUGAGGAAACUAUUGAUUGUCAAUGCAGACUGUAGGAGUUGUACAUGUUUACCUGAGGAUGAAAGUAGCAUAGACCUUUAUAGAGAUGAGAAUCCAGA